rnacentral:rRNA from 1 species
UACGGAGGGUGCGAGCGUUGUCCGGAUUUAUUGGGUUUAAAGGGUGCGUAGGUGGCCAAUUAAGUCAGUGGUGAAAUACAGCCGCUCAACGGUUGAGGUGCCAUUGAUACUGAUUGGCUUGAAAUAAUUGGAGGCUGCCGGAAUGGAUGGUGUAGCGGUGAAAUGCAUAGAUAUCAUCCAGAACACCGAUUGCGAAGGCAGGUGGCUACGAUUGAUUUGACACUGAGGCACGAAAGCAUGGGAAGCAAACAGG